UCUGGGGCUCACACACACGUGAGCUCCUCCACUUGCCUGCAUUACACACUGAUUUACAGCGCUGUCUGUAGCUGUUCUUAAUAAACAUUUUUAUUAUAUAAUAGCUCUAUGCUUCUACAGUGUUGCAAUGUUAGUUAACCUCAUUCGGAACAGAUUUUGCUCAUUCAAACAGCCAAAAAAUGUUUUUAAAAAGCUCUGUUGCUUACUAAAAAAUGCUGAGUUUGCUUGAUUGAGUUUGGCCAAUGGCCAAACAUAUUCUGCUUCAUGUUAUUCUGUAAGAAAUAGGAAAUCAUGAUUCCAGAUUACUGCAAGUUACAGCAAGUACAGUCCCAUGAAGCAGCAAAGCAUCCCCACACAUUUGCACUACCACCACCAUGUUUCAUGUAUUGUGUGUGACCUUUCACCGCUGGUACUGUGGGUGUAGUUUAAUAUCAGGUGUACCAGGUGAGUUUUAGACUCUAACAACUUUGCAUUUGGUAGAUUUUCUAUUUUUGCUUUUCUAUUUUGUUUCAAUCAAAACUGUUUUUAGUUUCCUUGUGGUAGCUGAACCCGAUUUUCUAUUUCAGUCACUAGUUUGAAAAAUUUAGGUGCAGUUUGACUGUGUUUUUUGAGACUGAUGUCACAUUUCUUAGCAGUCAUUAGACCUGCGUGAUGAGGAGCAUUCAGCUUUUCUCGCCUUUUUUUUUUUUUAUCACUGCUGGUGUUUAAUUGUUGUAUUUCUCUUUUUGUUUUGACUUUAUUCUGAGGUAACUGCACUUAUACCAUCAAUAACCAUUUUUUCUUUUCUUUUUUCUUUCUCAGAAAAAGUCAGAGCAUAUUUGUGGAGGGACACUCAUCAGUGAGAACUGGGUACUUUCUGCAGCUCACUGUUUUCCUAAUCUCUCUGCAGGGCGUGGGCACACUGCAGCAGGUACAGGUGCCAAUCAUCGGCCAAUCAGCAUGUCAGGAGAUGUUUACAGGAGAAAAAUUCGGCAUUCGGCAUGACAUGAUCUGCGCUGGUUACAAAGAGGGGGGCAAAGAUUCCUGCCAGGUAAGAAGAGGCUUACUGGCCACUUUAUUAGAAACAUUUGCUAAAUGCUUUCACUCCCUGUCUAAUUCAUCACUGACGGCUACAUAGUGCUUCCACUCACUGUGGCCACUUUAUUAGAAACCUCCUAUCUUGUGCUUCCACUCACUGUGGCCACUUUAUUAGAAACCUCCUAUCUUGUGCUUCCACUCACUGUGGCCACUUUAUUAGAAACCUCCUAUCUUGUGCUUCCACUCA
rnacentral:lncRNA from 1 species